rnacentral:tRNA from 1 species
GCCGGGAUGGCUGAGUGGAAAAGCGCAUGCUUGGAGAGCAUGUGGGGCGAACGCCCCUCAAGGGUUCGAAUCCCUUUCCCGGCG